rnacentral:rRNA from 1 species
AUUGAACGCUGGCGGCAGGCCUAACACAUGCAAGUCGAGCGGAUGAAGGGAGCUUGCUCCUGGAUUCAGCGGCGGACGGGUGAGUAAUGCCUAGGAAUCUGCCUGGUAGUGGGGGAUAACGUCCGGAAACGGGCGCUAAUACCGCAUACGUCCUGAGGGUGAAAGUGGGGGAUCUUCGGACCUCACGCUAUCAGAUGAGCCUAGGUCGGAUUAGCUAGUUGGUGGGGUAAAGGCCUACCAAGGCGACGAUCCGUAACUGGUCUGAGAGGAUGAUCAGUCACACUGGAACUGAGACACGGUCCAGACUCCUACGGGAGGCAGCAGUGGGGAAUAUUGGACAAUGGGCGAAAGCCUGAUCCAGCCAUGCCGCGUGUGUGAAGAAGGUCUUCGGAUUGUAAAGCACUUUAAGUUGGGAGGAAGGGCAGUAAGUUAAUACCUUGCUGUUUUGACGUUACCAACAGAAUAAGCACCGGCUAACUACGUG